UCACUUCUGGUGGCUUAAUUCAAUCGGGUGUCUAUGUAUCCUCAGCUUUCUGGCGGGUUUUUUUUUUUAUUGUGAAUUUAUAGCUUAUGUGGCUUGUUUAGGUUGUUGGUGAAAAUAGGCUCUUGAGACUUUCUAUAUUGUAGCUGGAAGCAGAAGUUGGGUCUGUUGCUGACUCGGUGCCUCCUUGUCCUGCGUACUCCCAGGUCAGGACAUCGGCUUGACUGGUGGCCACCUGCUGACCUCAGAGCCCUCGGAGCGAAUCCAGCUGUCCAAUUGAAACCAAGCAUGGUCCUCUGCGGCUUGGCCUCUUUUUCUCCCGAGAUGGUUGCGGGGCACUUAUUGGGUGAAGACCCUCAUUCAUUCUGGGGUGUGUCAGGAGUUUCUUCGAGACAGGACCAAGCUAUGAGCCUGUGGCAGGAGCAUCCGAGGCACAGCUCAGCCUCUCCCGUGCUGCACACCCCUGUGUGCAGGUGCCCUUGCCCGCAGCCGCGGCUCCAGGUCCGCGUGGAGUCAGCUGCUGCUGUCAAGCAUUUUCACAGUACAGUUACUGGUCUACUCCAGCACAGUCACGAGGCACCUUGAGAGGCUGCAAAAGACCCCUAAAGUCUUCCGCAUCUUUAUCAUUCCUCAAGGGAUGGGUUCCAGGACCCCCGAGUUUAACCCACCUGCAGGAGCUCAAGUUCCUGAUGUAAAAUGAUGUCGGAUUUGCAAGUAACCUGCACACAUCCUCCCGUAUCUUUGAUCCUCGGUUGAAUCUGUGGUGCGGAACCUGAAGACGUGGAGGCAGGCCGUAUUUAUUUCUAUACACUCCUAUUCG
rnacentral:lncRNA from 10 species